rnacentral:misc_RNA from 1 species
GUGAAUCAUCGAAUUUUUGAACGCAAAUUGCACUCUCUGCUGAGAGGAUGCCUGUUUGAGGGUGAGCGUAAAAAAAAUCGACAUCGGUGCUGUUGCGCGGUGGCGUUCGGCGGAAAUUGGGUUAUCUUAAAUCUUUUGCUUAAGCGACUUAAAAUUUUCUUUACGAUUCCGUGAACGUUUCCAAGAGUUAUUUCUUUACACGUUUAAGUUAUCGAUUUUAUUAGGCGUGUUCGUCAUAACGGAUUAUGGCCAUAAUGUUUCGUUAA